GGAUCAUUACAAGUGACCCCGGUCUUACCACCGGGAUGUUCAUAACCCUUUGUUGUCCGACUCUGUUGCCUCCGGGGCGACCCUGCCUUCGGGCGGGGGCUCCGGGUGGACACUUCAAACUCUUGCGUAACUUUGCAGUCUGAGUAAACUUAAUUAAUAAAUUAAAACUUUUAACAACGGAUCUCUUGGUUCUGGCAUCGAUGAAGAACGCAGCGAAAUGCGAUAAGUAAUGUGAAUUGCAGAAUUCAGUGAAUCAUCGAAUCUUUGAACGCACAUUGCGCCCCCUGGUAUUCCGGGGGGCAUGCCUGUUCGAGCGUCAUUUCACCACUCAAGCCUCGCUUGGUAUUGGGCAACGCGGUCCGCCGCGUGCCUCAAAUCGACCGGCUGGGUCUUCUGUCCCCUAAGCGUUGUGGAAACUAUUCGCUAAAGGGUGUUCGGGAGGCUACGCCGUAAAACAACCCCAUUUCUAAGGUUGACCUCGGAUCAGGUAGGGAUACCCGCUGAACUUAAGCAUAUCAAUAAGCGGAGGAAAAGAAACCAACAGGGAUUGCUCUAGUAACGGCGAGUGAAGCAGCAAUAGCUCAAAUUUGAAAUCUGGCGUCUUCGACGUCCGAGUUGUAAUUUGUAGAGGAUGCUUCUGAGUAACCACCGACCUAAGUUCCUUGGAACAGGACGUCAUAGAGGGUGAGAAUCCCGUAUGCGGUCGGAAAGGUGCUCUAUACGUAGCUCCUUCGACGAGUCGAGUUGUUUGGGAAUGCAGCUCUAAAUGGGAGGUAAAUUUCUUCUAAAGCUAAAUAUUGGCCAGAGACCGAUAGCGCACAAGUAGAGUGAUCGAAAGAUGAAAAGCACUUUGGAAAGAGAGUUAAAAAGCACGUGAAAUUGUUAAAAGGGAAGGGAUUGCAACCAGACUUGCUCGCGGUGUUCCGCCGGUCUUCUGACCGGUCUACUCGCCGCGUUGCAGGCCAGCAUCGUCUGGUGCCGCUGGAUAAGACUUGAGGAAUGUAGCUCCCUCGGGAGUGUUAUAGCCUCUUGUGAUGCAGCGAGCGCCGGGCGA
rnacentral:rRNA from 1 species